rnacentral:tRNA from 1 species
ACUAUUUUGGCAGAUUAGUGCAAUAAAUUUAGAAUUUAUAUAUGUAAUUUUUACAAAUAGUA